rnacentral:lncRNA from 1 species
CCCCCUCCCCCCCCUCCCCCCCGCGGUGCGCUCCCCAGGGACAGCCGUGCCCGGCCCGGCCCGGCCCGGCCCGGGGGAAAGGGACGAAAGCGGGACCGGGACGGGGAGGAGGGGAUCCCGAGCGGGGCGGGAGGGCUGUCACCCACCUGCGCGACCUCUUCGCCAUCCUUCAGCCACCGCAUAGGCGCGGGACGGGGCGGGGCGGGGAGGGGGCGGCCCGCAAAGCAGCCCUCCUUCCCGCCCGGCGCCCCCCGCCCUGCGCUCUGCGACGCUUCCGGGGCUUUGCCGCGGCAGGUCCCCGGGAGGGAGUGGACGGAGUGUCAGGGGUCCGGCCCCGGUUUCCUCAGCUAGCCCCCGGCGGCGGCCGGCGAGGGGGGCAGGACCAUGUCCCGCGGACGGACGGGCGGACGGCAGGUAACUAGCAAAAUGUCCAGUGAGGGAAGAUUUACAGUGAUUCCCACAGUAUGACUAAUGGCUGGCCUUAAACGACAUUCAACUCUACAGCAGCCUGGUACAUUUAGAAGAGGAAGGACAGUCAUUCAUCAAAACUGUAAGAUAAAUAAAGUCUACAGAAACUGCUCUGAGCUUUCUUGAAAAUACGUGAUAGGGUUCAUCCCUCACCAAAUCUGCCUCUCCCCUCCACAUUCUUGACCCCAUUUAAAAUAAUCUCUAGCAAUGUGGUCGGUCACUUUUCUAAAUCAAGUCUUCUCUAAGCAUACGUAUUUUCUUUCAAAUAAGAGAACUCAUAUUUCCACUUGACUUUCGAAUCUGGCUUCUGAGUAGCAAUUCUGUAGCAAAAAGGAUUGGAAAUGUGUUUCUGAAAAUUACUGCAGACUAAAUGUGCAUCCUGUUGCAUGCUAAAAGAUUAGAUAUAGUUAAUAAAAUAAGAUUGGUUUUGUCUCUGCCCUGUUUUCUUUAAACCAAAUAAGACUCGCAAGUCAUCUAUCGAUCAUAAGACAAAUUAGAGAAUUUUUACAUGUUAAAGGUGAUUCUAUGAUUUACCUGAAAUCAGUGCACUAGCUUAUUAAACAAUUUCCUGGAGUUCAGAUACUUUACUAGGUUUUAAGUUGUAUUUACCACCACACCACCUGUAACUUAUUAACUAAAUACAAAAUGUUACUUGUAUUUAUUUCCCUCUCCUAAUGUAAAACUGACACAUUCAAGUAAAUAAACUUCCCAAAAGAACUUUGACCUAGAGAAAAAAAAAAGUAAAACGUAGAAGUCAAAAGUAAGUGACACAGUCAAGUUUUUCAAGUCAUAAAAUUAAUCCAACAAAAUCUUACCCAAUUUUAGUUUUGAAAAUGUCUAGAUUCCUUAGUCUUCUCAACCAAAAUGCAGCAGCAGCUAAGUGGCUUCAGUUGAAUUUAUUUCCACAUAAAGAAAACCUCCCUCAUUGGGAAAUCAGGUUCAAAGUAGUAUCCAAAAUUAUUGUGACAUAGCAGAUAGAGAUUUUUGAAUGUUUGAUAUUUUCCAAAUGUACAUGUUUCAGAAUGAAAAUGUUGUGGACUUUUGCUAUGGGAACACAGAACUCAGCCAAGCUCUAAGUGCUCUAAAUUCAAGACUAUUAAAAUACAUUCCAAUUCAGCUUUACUUCAAUGAGCAGAGGAAAAAAGUAGACUAAAAUGCACCUUGUGAUGUACAAGCUGCAAAGUGAGAGGGAAAGUAGUGCAAUACAAACAUCAAGAUAACAUUCUUUGUGGAAUAAGCAUGACAGCUGUUUCUCAGGGAAGCUGGUACUUAAAUAGCUAAUGAGUACACUAAGUGAAUGCCAAGACAGGGAAUGAUGCAGUCAAAUUUGCAUCACAAAUUCAAGUAAAGUCAACAUAUAACAAUCCUCUGGGCAAUAAAAGUUAGGAACCACUUGGAGUUUCCAAAGGGGUCUCAAAGACACUUAUACUAUACAAGCUGAAAUAUCACCGAUGAAGAUUUUUUGAACAAUGCAACUAAUUUGUAAAGAUAAAUUCUCUCAGGUCCUCAGAGUCAACAUUUCUAAAAACUGGACCUCACAUAACUUUAGCUACCAUUAUCCCUUGUACUUCUAUCAUGACAUUCACCAGGCUUUCUGUGAGAUUAAAAAAAAAAUAUGGCACCUGACCAGCUCGAGAUUCAGGAGACAGUAGUAACAUGCUAACAUGAAUGUAGUACAUAAAUGGAUGUUUUGGCUUAGACAGCAAUACAACUGCAUCCCACCCAUUUUAUCGUUCCAAAGUAGUCUUUUCUCUAACCUUGCACAAACUGACAAAAUAGAAGAGGUUGCUAUAUCUACUCCCUCUUUCCAUUUUCUCCAUGAAGCAAAUGUAGCUCUUUGAAUGUAUUCAAUUCUAAGGGAAUGUCAACACUGUAGAAAGUGUUGACUAUACUGUAGUAUGAAUUUUAGCACCCUCGGUCCUCAUUUGUUCUCAUUGUAAAGAUUUUUGUACACUAUAUGAAAUUUGUGUGAACAAAGCUUAUGUCUGAGGCCAUGUUAACUUUGUUAAAUGUAGAUUUUUGCCCAGUUUAGCCUUUUCAGUAAUCUUAAGCAUGUCUUUGAAGCAUUAAGACUUUCAUGGAAUGAAAAUUACAAAAACAAAAACCCAAAAAACCUUCAGUCAUCCAUAUCUACAGCAGAUGUUCAUUUCUCAGUGCACCUAACAACUAAUUUCCAUGUAAUUCAGAGCCAGCCUGGGCAGCAGUAUAAUAAAAGCUAUUGCCAAUCACACACUUGCUAUCAUGCACUGAAUAAGAUAAAUCUUUGAAACAUUACGUACAAGAUGCUCUUAAGUGACUAAUCGUGUAGGUGGCCCAGCCAACAAACGUUACAUAUUCACAAUUAAGUUUUUCUGCU